rnacentral:rRNA from 1 species
UACAGAGGGGGCAAGCGUUAUUCGGAAUUAUUGGGCGUAAAGGGCGCGUAGGCGGCUUCGCAAGUGACGGGUGAAAUCCCUCGGCUUAACCGAGGAACUGCCUGUCAGACUGCAUGGCUUGAGACCAGGAGAGGUGAGUGGAAUUCCCAGUGUAGCGGUGAAAUGCGUAGAUAUUGGGAGGAACACCAGUGGCGAAGACGGCUCACUGGACUGGUACUGACGCUGAGGCGCGAAAGCGUGGGUAGCAAACAGG